rnacentral:rRNA from 1 species
CCUACGGGAGGCAGCAGUGAGGAAUAUUGGUCAAUGGACGAGAGUCUGAACCAGCCAAGUAGCGUGAAGGAUGACUGCCCUAUGGGUUGUAAACUUCUUUUAUAUGGGAAUAAAAUGUUACACGUGUGGGAUUUUGUAUGUACCAUAUGAAUAAGGAUCGGCUAACUCCGUGCCAGCAGCCGCGGUAAUACGGAGGAUCCGAGCGUUAUCCGGAUUUAUUGGGUUUACAGGGAGCGUAGGUGGAUUGUUAAGUCAGUGGUGAAAGUUUGCGGCUCAACCGUAAAAUUGCAGUUGACACUGGCAGUCGUGAGUACAGUAGAGGUGGGCGGAAUUCGUGGUGUAGAGGUGAAAUGCUUAGAUAUCACGAAGAACUCCGAUUGCGAAGGCAGCUCACUGGACUGCAACUGACACUGAGGCUCGAAAGUGUGGGUAUCAAACAGGAUUAGAUACCCCAGUAGUC